rnacentral:rRNA from 1 species
UCCUACGGGACGCAGCAGUGGGGAAUAUUGGACAAUGGGGGGAACCCUGAUUCAGCGACGCCGCGUGAGUGAAGAAGUAUUUCGGUAUGUAAAGCUCUAUCAGCAGGGAAGAAAGAAAUGACGGUACCUGACUAAGAAGCCCCGGCUAACUACGUGCCAGCAGCCGCGGUAAUACGUAGGGGGCAAGCGUUAUCCGGAUUUACUGGGUGUAAAGGGAGCGUAGACGGCAGUGCAAGUCCGGAGUGAAAGCCCGGGGCUCAACCCUGGGAUUGCUCUGGAAACUGUAAAGCUGGAGUGCGGGAGGG